rnacentral:rRNA from 1 species
GCAGCCGCGGUAAUACGAAGGGGGCUAGCGUUGUUCGGAAUUACUGGGCGUAAAGCGCACGUAGGCGGACAUUUAAGUCAGGGGUGAAAUCCCAGAGCUCAACCCUGGAACUGCCUUUAAUACUGCUGAUCUAGAGUUCGAGAGAGGUGAGUGGAAUUCCGAGUGUAGAGGUGAAAUUCGUAGAUAUUCGGAGGAACACCAGUGGCGAAGGCGGCUCACUGGCUCGACACUGACGCUGAGGUGCGAAAGCGUGGGGAGCAAA